UACUAAAGAACUUCAACAAAUAAUUUAAAGGACUAACUAUUGAUGAAAGCAGGUCUGGAUAGUAUUCGUUAAUUUUGAUGAGAAUUAAAAAAUAAUUAAUACGACAAAUAUUAGAUUCCAUAGUUUCUAAUUGUCUCGAGACGAGAUUUCAGUUCUGUGGAGACUUCCAUGCGAAUGAGUGUGGCAGUCGUCGUGUUAAAACGCGUAUUUUAAUGUUUUGUCGUGUCGGUGCCGGUACGUGUCGUUGCCGGAACGUGACGGUCCGUGUCGUAUAGUCUGAAUCGACCUUUACACUUUUUCGUACUCUCUUGCCUGCUCUAUCCAAACGACCCUUUCUGCCAUACGAUUUCGCGUGCAAUUCCAUCCGCCCACCGUUUUCGCGUGUGCAAUUGACUCGUCACGUGGAAUUGGCGCUUAUGGCGUGCACUUUUAUGGAGCACCAAGCACGCUUUAACGAGGUAAACCGAAAUAGGCGGCCAGGAGAACCGAGCACGCUCGUUUACCGGCACAAUUUCGUCCGAAAUGUAUAUGAUUUCACGGCGACGGCGGAUUUGGGUCGUGGGGGCUAUAUCACGAUCGGUUAAUGGUAUUGCGUAACCGUUCGAGAUACGUGACUUGAUAAAAAUGGUUGUAUCAUCGAUGGUGGGAAUGCUGUCCGGGUUUCCACGGAGCGGAGAGGCUCAUUGUAUAUCUCCGUUAUGUUCUUUUUUUUCUCUUUACCCUCAGAGGCUGUAUCGACGCUAUGGGAGGCUAGACUGAUACGUAGACGCAUUGCAUGGGCAUUUUUAGUGUUUCUGAGAGGGAUUGAAUUAUAUUUAGAGAAAGACUUAAUAGUACUUUGAAGGAAUUAUAUUAUAAUAGCAGGUUAUUUAGGAGUAGUCUACCAGCUUAAAAAGAACUUUUUAUUAGUCCGAAUUAAUUUAGCCUGGCAUUAACUCCUGCAUACUGUUAUUAUCUUAUCUCACACUGCUUCCAUCUCCUCUAUUACGAAGAACAAAUACUAAGCUACCUGUUGAUUCCAGGAAAUAAAGUGGAAAAUCGAGCGAUUCGAAUGAAACGUUCUCCCAAACGUUGUUUUGCGGUAAUUAAUUUACAUUUAAUCGCCAGCCGAACGAUUCCACGUAGCACGUUUCUACGUACCGGGUGAGCGGAUUUGAAUCGGUGACCAUCGAUGGGGCAAUUCAUUCUUCGACACGCCGGAGUCGUAACUGCGGAUUUAAAAUGUCGUAACUGCGACCUAAUAGCAGUCACGGCGAAAAGGGAAGGGAAAAGGAAGGAAGGUGAGUGGGCUUCGUUUACACGCCUCGAGAUCGAACUCACCAAUGCAUUUCAAGACUGCGAGCCAGGAAUUCCACGGCGAGCGUUCGGAUUCCAGAUUUCUAUCGGUUUUCAUUCAAACCGAGCCUAUGUCUGACGAAAGCUCAGAGGUAUUCUGCCUCGGGAUCGGUGAUAUUCGUUUACUCGUGGAAAAAGGUGUAAUGAGGAAAAGGCUAACGCUGGAAGAAGAAUGCAACGAUGAAUGGACUCCAGAGUGGAUGGCAUGCUCGAAUGAAAACAGUGAAAAAAGUCUAAGAAGUACAGGAAGAAGGCGCGUUGGACGCGCAAUUGACCUGUUCGGGAAGAUGAAAAUAGGUUGGAAAAAGCGUAAACGCGUAGAAGGUUUACGACUACGCGACUAGAGCGAGCAUAAUUGCUCAUGGAUGCGGACACGCCCUCGGAGAAAAAUUCAUCUGGGGAAUGCGCUGAAGCAACCACGUCCUUGACCGUAAGCGACGGAAACGGCAUUCGAUCCUCCGACACCUUCGCCGUCGCCUAAGAUGGACAUCUAAACCGGAGAAUUUCCUUUCGAACGCAGAAAGCAUCGAACGACGAUUACGUAAAGUAGGAAGGCCAGAACCAGUCCUUCAAGGAGGAGGGGAGGAAGAAUUCGGACUCGUUGUUGACUUUAGACGAUACAAAAUGUAUGAACUAGUCGUGUAUACUUCGAUAAUCAUUUUCGUGCAAGGACAAACGAAUUUUCGUUAUUCAGUGGUCAUAUCUUGUCCUUAUAUAUAUAUAUAUAUAUAUUUUUUAAAUUAACGUCACGGUUUAGGAUUUAUUCAUAUGUAAUUAUAUUUAGUGGUAAAGUCUAGUGUCUUUAGGAAAGUUGAGAAUUUUGUUUGUUAACUACAGCCCGAGGUAUAUUUAAAUAAUUAGCAAUGCGAUUACUCUUAAUUAACACGUUGAACGCCACGUCAUCCAUAUAUGGGUGACAGAGCUCUUCACUGAGGAACUUCAACAAUUAAUUUUAAGGGCUGAGUGUUAAUGAAAACGCAUCUAGAUAGAAUUCGUAAAUUUGUACAGGGAUAUAAAAAUUGGUAAUACGACAAAUGAUAGAUUCUAUAAUUCCCAAUAGUCUCGAGACAAAAUUUUAGUCUUGUACACAUUUCCAUGUGAAUCAGUGUGGCAAUCGACGUGUUAAAGAGCUGCCCUCAGGGGCUGCAGCUAGAUUUAAUUCUAGCUGCAGUGCGGGUUUAGCAACCCCGAGGUACCCGAGCUAUGGCGGGCCGAGAGGGCCCAACAGAGUGGAGAUUAUCAGAAGUAUACAUAAAGCAAGAAUUAAACGAAUGCAAAUCCUGAAUCAAUGUAAGACUGGUACAUUAGGUGUCACAGUCAAGUUCUAUGACUUCCUUAUAAGUACACCUCGCUCACUCGCUUAAUUGAAGAGUUACAUUCAAAAUUACGAGUGGAUAUGAUACGAUCUUUAUAUUUAAUUUAAAUUAAACAAUGUCUGUUCUAUAUUGUACUUUGCUUACUCUAAUUCAGCCGUUAUUAUUUUAGCCACUAUCGCCAAGUGUGGUUUCACGUGUUUAUCUUACGACUAUGGAACUCGAGAUAACUCGAGCUGUGUAAUAGUCGAGGAACGUCUGGAGAACGGCAUUUCAAUUAGAUUGCUUGAUUUUCCAGCAGUUUUCUGGAAUGAACGGGUACACGCAGGUUGUGGGAACGUUUGUAUGUGCGACAGAGUUGAAUAUAAAAUACGAAAUACGAUAAAAAUUAGGCGUGAGAAACAUUAACGUUUAUCUACCAUUGCGUUUACUCUGACACGUUUCAAUUUGAACCCAAGUUCGAUAUAUGUACUAGUAUUUUCGCG